rnacentral:rRNA from 1 species
GACAGAGGAUGCAAGCGUUAUCCGGAAUGAUUGGGCGUAAAGCGUCUGUAGGUGGCUUUUUAGGUCCGCCGUCAAAUCCCAGGGCUCAACCCUGGACAGGCGGUGGAAACUACCAAGCUGGAGUACGGUAGGGGCAGAGGGAAUUUCCAGUGGAGCGGUGAAAUGCGUAGAUAUUGGAAAGACCACCGAUGGCGAAGGCACUCUACUGGGCCACUACUGACACUGAGAGACGAAAGCUAGGGGAGCAAAUGGG